rnacentral:rRNA from 1 species
GGCGUGCUUACACAUGCAAGUCUAGGCAGAAAGUACCUUCGGGUGCGAGUAAACUGGCGAACGGGUGAGUAACGUGUAGGUAAUUUGCCUACGAGUGGGGAAUAGGUCCGGGAAACCGGAAUUAAUACCGCAUAACGUCAUGCUCCGAUGGGAGUGUGAUCAAAGGUGGGGACCUUCGGGCCCAUCGCUUGUAGAUAAGCCUGCAUCUGAUUAGUUAGUUGGUAGGGUAACGGCCUACCAAGACCGCGAUCAGUAGCUGUUCUAAGAGGAAGAUCAGCCACAUUGGGACUGAGAUACGGCCCAGACUCCUACGGGAGGCAGCAGUGAGGAAUUUUGCGCAAUGGGAGAGAUCCUGACGCAGCAACGCCGCGUGACCGAUUGAAGCUUUUAGGAGUGUAAAGGUCUGUCGUGAGGGAAGAAAAAGACCGAGAAUAAUAAGUUCGGUAAUUGACGGUACCUCACAAGCAAGCUCCGGCUAACUUCGUGCCAGCAGCCGCGGUAAUACGAGGGGAGCAAGCGUUGUCCGAAAUAACUGGGCGUAAAGGGUACGUAGGCUUUUUUGUAUGUUUCCGGUGAAAUUCACAGGCUCAACUUGUGACUUGCCGGAAAAACUGCAGAGAUUGAAUCCGGAAGGGGAAAGCGGAAUUCCUGGAGUAGCGGUGAAAUGCGUAGAUAUCAGGAGGAACACCAGUGGCGAAGGCGGCUUACUGGUCCGGAAUUGACGCUGAAGUACUAAAGCGUGCGUAGCACACAGGAUUAGAUACCC